UACGUAGGGUGCAAGCGGUUGUCCGGAAUUAUUGGGCGUAAAGAGCUCGUAGGCGGUCUGUCGCGUCGGCUGUGAAAACCCGGGGCUCAACCUCGGGUCUGCAGUCGAUCGGGCAAACUGGAGUGUUGCAGGGAGACUGGAAUUCCUGGUGUAGCGGUGAAAUGCGCAGAGUAUCAAGGAGGAACACCGGUGGCGAAGGCGGGUCUCUGGGCCGAUACUGACGUGAGGAGCGAAAGCGUGGGGAGCGAACAGG
rnacentral:rRNA from 1 species